CUCCGCGCCGCCGCCCAUCUCCUCUGCCACCAUGUCUCUCUGCCGGGCCGCCUCGCUGGCGCUGGCCUCCCGCCUGAGCAGGGCUCCCGCCGCCGCCAGCCGCCUCAAGCAGCGUGCACCUCCUCGCCAGAUGUCAUCUGGGAGUGUUCCUGGCUCUUCUGGAGACAGGAUGACGAUCUAUCUCCUUGCUGGUGUUGCAGCUUUUGGUGGUUUAUUUUAUGCCUACAGAGUAGUCAAUUCAUCCCACAGCAAGUUUAUCAAACAUACAAAUAUUCUUCAUGAGAGAGCAGAGGGGCAGAAGAACAAUCCUUGGUCAAGGAAGGACACAAGGGAAAACUCUUUCCAAACCUGUGGAAGUUAA
rnacentral:lncRNA from 1 species